rnacentral:rRNA from 1 species
GGAAGGGGUGUAUUUAUUAGAUAAAAAACCAAUGCCCUUCGGGGCUCCUUGGUGAAUCAUAAUAACUUAACGAAUCGCAUGGCCUUGCGCCGGCGAUGGUUCAUUCAAAUUUCUGCCCUAUCAACUUUCGAUGGUAGGAUAGUGGCCUACCAUGGUGGCAACGGGUAACGGGGAAUUAGGGUUCGAUUCCGGAGAGGGAGCCUGAGAAACGGCUACCCCAUCCAAGGAAGGCAGCAGGCGCGCAAAUUACCCAAUCCCGACACGGGGAGGUAGUGACAAUAAAUACUGAUACGGGGCUCUUUUGGGUCUCGUAAUUGGAAUGAGUACAAUCUAAAUCCCUUAACGAGGAACAAUUGGAGGGCAAGUCUGGUGCCAGCAGCCGCGGUAAUUCCAGCUCCAAUAGCGUAUAUUAAAGUUGUUGCAGUUAAAAAGCUCGUAGUUGAACCUUGGGUCUGGCUGGCCGGUCCGCCUCACCGCGAGUACUGGUCCGGCUGGACCUUUCCUUCUGGGGAAUCUCAUGGCCCUCACUGGCUGUGGGGGGAACCAGGACUUUUAC